UACGAAGGGGGCUAGCGUUGCCCGGAAUUACUGGGCGUAAAGCGCACGUAGGCGGCUUCUUAAGUCAGGGGUGAAAUCCUGGAGCUCAACUCCAGAACUGCCUUUGAUACUGAGGAGCUUGAGUCCGGGAGAGGUGAGUGGAACUGCGAGUGUAGAGGUGAAAUUCGUAGAUAUUCGCAAGAACACCAGUGGCGAAGGCGGCUCACUGGCCCGGUACUGACGCUGAGGUGCGAAAGCGUGGGGAGCAAACAGG
rnacentral:rRNA from 1 species